rnacentral:rRNA from 1 species
CCCUUAGAUGUUCUGGACCGCACACGCGCUACACUGAAGGAGGCAGCGUGUACUCCUGGAUCGAAAGAUUUGGGUAACCCGCGAAUCUCCUUCGUGCUAGGGAUUGAGGUUUGCAAUUAUCCUUCAUGAACGAGGAAUUCCCAGUAAGUGCAAGUCAUAAGCUUGCGCUGACUACGUCCCUGCCCUUUGUACACACCGCCCGUCGCUACUACCGAUUGAAUGAUUUAGUGAGGACUUCGGACUGGGACCGAUGCGGCUUUCGGGCUGCGUCGGUAUUCUGGAAAGAUGUCCAAACUGUNUNAUUUAUNGGAAGUAAAANUCGUANCA